rnacentral:lncRNA from 1 species
AUAGAAACUGUCCCUUAACAUUUCUUGUGAAAUGCAGGCACAUGGAUAUAAGGAGAUGAAUGCCCCCAGUAAAUCGAGUAGCUCAGGCAGGGUCAUUUUGAGAUGAUGUUGAUCAACUCUUUGAGAUACUGGAGAGACUCACCUUUGCCUAGGAAGCCUAGGAGGAAAGAAGGGAGCUGUCUGACUCUCCUCAACUGUCACAAUUUGA